rnacentral:lncRNA from 1 species
AUGUCAUCCAGCAAAGGCAGCAGCGCAGUCAUCAACUACAUGCACCGUUUCUUCACCAACUACGGAGUUGGGAAAACACGUGUGUACCUGAAUUGUGAUAAAUGCAGUGGCCAAAACAAGAACAAGUUUGUGCUCUGGCGGACCAUGCACAAGCUCCACCACAAUCUGGACCUUCACUUCCUGAUCACAUGCCACACCAAGUUUUCCCCAACUGGUGCUUCGGACCAUUUUCAUUGCAUUCUUCAAUGCUCUGGAGACUGGUGUUGUCGCAAUGCUGACAUCCUUCCUCCCAUAGAUGGUCUGCCUGUACACGCACCACCUGGAUUGGACACAGCUAGACAAAUGUAUAUUUUUUGAGAAGAUCAGGGAGUUUUGCAACUAAGAGGCUAUGGACAUCACAUGCCCUGCGCCGGAGUCAGGACAGAAACAGGCUCUCCGAAUGUAGAUUCCCUUGUUCAUGCGUGGUUUGGACGGACCAGUCAUCAGCACUAUCUGCAGUGCCUCUAUUCACGACUCUCUCCUAACACACGCCAUAUGUUGCUGCUACUGUUUUAUUUUAUUCUGCUGCUCAGCCACUGAUUGUAUGCAUAUAACUACUCUUGUCUAUCACUGAUAUUGCUCUUGUGCAUACUGUGUAUUUUAUUGAUAUUGACACUAUUUCUGAAAAUCCAAGUAACCAUUUGACUGUACCGCUUACAUCUUCUGUGGAGACCCAUCGACUUAGCAAAAUAUUGAUAUAUAAAAUUAUUAUUGACGUGUGGUCGUAAUGUGAUUUUGUGACCUACCACAAUAUCAUGUGACCGUAUCAAGUGUUCACAACAUAAAUAUAUGGUGCAUGCAUCUGUUUAUGUACAUGUGUACCUCACUCAGGUUUCAACUCAGGUUGCAUGGCCUUAACCUAUGUAUGGAAUACUAUGUGAUAAGUGUGUGUAACAGUAUAUAAAGAAUGCUAAUGAAUGGGUGUGAAGGCAUUUGGGCAGUGGUGUAAAAAUACUUUAAAGUACUACAUCAUUUUUGGGGGAUGUCUGUACAUUACUUUACUAUUUAUAUUUUUGGCAACUUUUACUUCACUACAUUCCAAAAGUAAAUAAACUUUUUACUCCAUACAAUUUCCCUGACACCCAAAAGUACUUGUUACAUUAUGAUGGGAAAAUUGUCUAAUUCAAACACUUAUGAAGAGAACAUCUCUGCUGCAUUUGAUCUGGCAGACUCACUAAACACAUGCUUUGUUUGUAAAUUAUGUCUAAGUGUUUGAGUGUGCCCCUGGCUAUCCGUUAAUAAAAAAUACAAUUGGGCCGUCUGGUUUAAUAAGGAAUUUGAAAUGAUUUUUGCUUUUGAUACUUAAG